ensembl:lncRNA
CCGAAUCCCUUGGAGCCAAGUGAGAAAACAUUUUUUUACUGGUCCAUAUCCUAAGUCGGAUUGUUUUUUAUCCCCCUGCGUUUAUAACCAGAAGAUGCGGCUCACCUCCUGUUAGCAGACUGCUAGUCUGUUCCUGGAGGCAAUGAAAAGCAGCAUCUCCUCUAAUUCAUCACCAUCCGAAGGGAGAGAGAAGAACGAGAGACGUUCAAGAGUCAUCAGAGUGGAUGUCUGCACCUUUAUAUCCUGUGCAAAUAUGUGUUUAAUGAGAAAAUAUUUUCCACCUGGAAUUACAAAUGUGUCUUUGCUCCCUGCUUACAAACAUCUUCUUUGAGACGUCGACCUGUUACAAUUGCAGUUUAAUCUGAAAUGGAAUUACGGCAGCAGUAAUUAGUUUAUAGAGGAGUCUAAUUGUCUUAUUGUGUUUAAAAAAAAUAUUCCUUUAUCUCCUCGGGAACUUUGAAAGGAGGAUAGCGUUUCCUUCCCACUGCCCCCCCCCUCCCUCCCCCCAUCAACUUCUCUCUUCCGCUGAGGCAGUACAACACAACUAUUCAUUCAAACCAAUAAUCUCAAAGUCAUUACCACUUAUCAAAAGGGCUGCGAAUUAAUUAUGUUAACUGCAAGAAUUUUCAUUAGAUCUUUAAAUGUGUACACUUCAUCAGUUCUGAGAACUCAAUUUGAUUACAGUUGAUUUCUUUCUACUUAAUGAGGCAAGCGUUUCUUUCUUUUCCCCCUGUCCCUUUUUUGUCUGUUUCUCUGUUUCUUCAUUAAUUGGAUUAUGAUCAAUGCAAGCUUUAAUGUUAUGGAAAACUUAACCGAAGCCUCAAUCUACCACGACACAGUUUUUGCGGCAGAAGAUUAGAGAACGUCGUAUCGUCAUUUGUCAAAUAUCAAACUGUCUUUCCUUAACGAUGUUGGAAUGAAACGCUGCUAAUCACUGCUGACGAACGCACGCUGCUGUUCUACAAAGAUAAUGAGUCUGCCAGAGUCAAAGGGAGCAACAAACACCCGAGCAGAGCCCAGAAGGAGGAGAUGAAACGUGACAUAUCAACAAAAUACAGAUACUCAAGUGCAACUACGGACUGACAACGACUGUUAGAGAUUUGACCCAAACGGAGCUGAGAGACACAGCGGGGAAGACGAAGUCAGAGACAUUACAGAGGCCCGUGUCAACCACCGGGGGACGCGAGGUGUGAAAGAGAGAAACAAAGUGAUAAAAAGGGGAAACGGAGUGAAGAGCUGAAGCAGGCAGGAAGGAUGAGGACUAAACACACUUUGAUGAGAGCUACUUGGAUGAAAAUCCUCCUUACUGGUGAUCCACCCGCCAAGAACUUUACCUCAUGAAGUAUACCUUCCACACCCCUGUAAACACACACACACACACACACACACACACACACACACACACACACACACACACAGACCAGCGAUUUAUAGACAGGUGAAAUGCACCUGUGCGUUUUAGCCUCAUCCACUCUGGACUCAAAAUGUCACACAGACACAUAAACACACUCACAGCAUGGCGGACACAAAUACACACACAGGUGCUGCCGGGUGGACCAUGGGGAAGAGAUGAGACCGCUCUCGCUCCACUGACUGGAAAACCUGAUCUUCUUACCUCAGCAAGUUCAGAUGGAGGGACUCAGUGGAGAGACAUCUGUGUGUGUGUGUGUGUGUGUGUGUGUGUGUGUGUGUGUGUGUGUGUGUGUGUGUGUGUGUGUGUGUGUGUGUGUGUGUGUGUGUGUGUGUGCGUGUGCUUUUGUAUGUCGUGAGAAGGAGAGCCAGAGCAAGAGCCUCAUCAGCAGAGCACAAGAUUGAGGAGCAAGUGAGAAAAAGAACGACGCUGGGUCCUUAGCUGUUGUCAUGGCAACACAUUAACAGGUCGUAGGGUAAACAGGUGACUUUUAGUUAGUCAAUCGCCCCAAAAAUGUGCAGAA